AAUGUUUCACACCCCACAACUCCUCCUUGCCUUCCGUGCUACCAGCCGCAAUGGGCACAAGCCACCAUUUGUCCAACCUGAAAGGGAAACCAAGAUUGGUUCAGAAUGUGGGCCAGCGUAAAGAGCGAAGAGCCUUCCUACACCUGAAUCCAGAGUGGUAAACAGGCAAAGCCUCCGGUGACCCAGGAUCUCAGCUGUGUAAGACCUGGAAAGGAAGGAGGUCACAUAACACAAGUGCAGAACAGAUGCUCUGCAUGGAGAAAGGUCCCCGAUUCAAUCCCCAGCAUCUUCCUGAUGCACCUGGGGAAGGUCCCUGUCUGAAAUCCUGGAGAGCAGCUGCCAGACACUGUAAACAACACGGAGUUUGGUGGAUCAAGCAUCAUGGCUUGGUGUCAUGGAGUUGUAGCUUGUCAGCAUCUUGGGGACACCAGGUUGGGGAAUUCUUAUCUGCACGGAUUGACAGGGGCUCUCCAAGGUUUCAGUGACUUGACCAGCACUACCUGGAGAUGCCAGGGAUAGAACAGAGGACCUUCUGAAUGGAAUUUACCACUGAAUUACAAGCACCUGCACCUUGUCAGUCAGUCACAUGCCUAUAUAAAUGCAUCCGCAUGAGCAACAAGGCCUUAUUUGGAGCACAGCCAGCCGUUCCAUAUGCUAUAGCAGAACCGGGACUCAAGAGGACUCACAAUAAAUAAAACAAGCAUGGAUAAAACACAGAUACCUAAAAACAUAUAAAAGGUAAAAGA